rnacentral:lncRNA from 1 species
CUGCCACGGAGGAGAUGCUCUUCACGAAGGGAGAGUCAGGUACAUUGGAGGAUUCAUUGCUGUGGCCAGGGAAGGCAGAGGACAUGCAAAAUUAGUAUUUCCCUUUCUAUCUUCUAGGAUGGACUUUUUUCAUUCAGACGGCCGCUCUGGCUUAAAGAUAUGUACAAACCUCUCAGUGCCACAAGAGUAAAUAAUCACGCAUGGAAGCUGCACAAGAAGUCAUCUAAUGAGGACGAGAUCCUCAACAGGGACCCUGGGGACAGCGAAGCCCCAACAGAGAAGGGGGAGGAGAGUGAAGCCCUGCCAUAGGAGGAGAACCCAGCCCACCUCAGGCCUCCUGCAAAAACACAUAGCAUAAACAAUACCAUCAGAAAGAAAAGCAGGACUGAAGCCAGCGGCCCACACAUCCACAGAGGCAGCGGGCAGAGCAAGCACAGGGCCAUCGUUCCUGCCCUUGUUUCCCAGUCUAAUUAGUCACCCAGACCUGAAAACAUAUCCUCAGGGGGUGGAGAUUUUACAAUUACCAUUGUUUUUGGUGCCCUCUCCCUUGCUUCAUCAAGCAUCAGUCAUAUAAUACCACAGAUUUGAACUCCUGCCCACAGGGGACCUCCCAUCUCCUGGCCCCUAUCAUAGGAUCACUGGGCCUACCUGCACUGUGGGGCCAAGCCCUGUCUUUUUC